CAGUCGAACGAGAGACCUUCGGGUCUCUAGUGGCGAACGGGUGAGUAACACCUAGGGAACCUGCCCGCGCACCGGGAAUACGCUCUGGAAACGGAGAACAAAUCCCGAUGUACAGGAAGGAGGCAUCUUCUUUCUGUGAAACAUCCUUUCGGGGAUGGGGCGCGGAUGGACCUGCGGUGCAUUAGUUUGUUGGCGGGGUAAAGGCCCACCAAGACGAUGAUGCAUAGCCGGCCUGAGAGGGCGGACGGCCACAUUGGGACUGAGACACGGCCCAGACUCCUGCGGGAGGCAGCAGUAGGGAAUUUUCGUCAAUGGGCGCAAGCCUGAACGAGCGAUGCCGCGUGAGUGAAGAAGGCCUUCGGGUCGUAAAGCUCUGUUGCGGGGGAAAAAAGGCAGCAUCAGGAAAUGGGUGCUGACUGAUGGUGCCCCGCCAGAAAGUCACGGCUAACUACGUGCCAGCAGCCGCGGUAAUACGUAGGUGGCGAGCGUUAUCCGGAAUGAUUGGGCGUAAAGGGUGCGCAGGCGGUCCUGCAAGUCUGGAGUGAAACGCAUGAGCUCAACUCAUGCAUGGCUUUGGAAACUGGAGGACUGGAGAGCAGGAGAGGGCGGUGGAACUCCAUGUGUAGCGGUAAAAUGCGUAGAUAUAUGGAAGAACACCAGUGGCGAAGGCGGCCGCCUGGCCUGUUGCUGACGCUGAGGCACGAAAGCGUGGGGAGCAAAUAGGAUUAGAUACCCUAGUAGUCCACGCCGUANACGAUGAGGACCAAGUGUUGGGGGUNAAACCUCAGUGCUGAAGUUAACGCAGUGAGUCCUCCGC
rnacentral:rRNA from 1 species